rnacentral:rRNA from 1 species
UACAGAGGUCUCAAGCGUUGCUCGGAUUCAUUGGGCGUAAAGGGUGCGUAGGUGGCGGGGCAAGUCUGGUGUGAAAUCCCGGGGCUCAACCCCGGAACUGCACUGGAUACUGCCUUGCUAGAGCACUGGAGAGGGAACUGGAAUUUACGGUGUAGCAGUGAAAUGCGUAGAUAUCGUAAGGAAGACCAGUGGCGAAGGCGAGUUCCUGGACAGUUGCUGACACUGAGGCACGAAGGCUAGGGGAGCAAACGGG